CGCCCCUUAGCUCAGUGGUUAGAGCAGGCGACUCAUAAUCGCUUGGUCGUUGGUUCAAACCCAACAGGGGCCACCA
rnacentral:tRNA from 1 species